CGCCUCUUGAAUCAGUAUAAGAGGUCCAGCCUGCCCAGUGACCCUGUUCAACGGCCGCGGUAUCCUAACCGUGCGAAGGUAGCGUAAUCACUUGUUCUUUAAAUGAGGACUAGUAUGAACGGCAUCACGAAGGUUAUACUGUCUCCUUUUUCUAAUCAGUGAAUCUAAUCUCCCCGUGAAGAAGCGGGAAUAUAACUAUAAGACGAGAAGACCCUAUGGAGCUUAAAACAACACAGCACUUGUCAAAAAACUAAACAAUUCCAGAAUUUUUAAUUUCUAGGCAACAUGACUAUAAGUUUUUGGUUGGGGUGACCGCGGAGUAUAAUAUAACCUCCAUGUUGAAAGAAUUUUAUUCUAAGCCAAAAAGUACAUUUUUAAGCAUCAAUAAAUUGACAUCUAUUGACCCAAUAUACUUGAACAACGAACCAAGUUACCCUAGGGAUAACAGCGCAAUCCACUUCAAGAGCUCCUAUCGACAAGUGGGUUUACGACCUCGAUGUUGGAUCAGGGUUUCCCAGUGGUGCAGCCGCU
rnacentral:rRNA from 1 species